GGCCGGGUCCAGCCUAGUGCUCACCUCCUAGGCAGGGAAUGUCACCGUGGCAGGAAGACUCAUUACUUCAUCCUGCAACCCCCAGUUCCCCUUCACAUCGAGGAAUUCAAGAGGGAAUAAAGCCUCAGGCCUUCAGCCAGAGCCUGCGGGAGCUGCUGACAGAACUGCACAAAGUAUAGGAGUCCCCAGGGCAGCUGUGGAGGCAGCAGCUACCGUUGCAUUCCCAAGAGCUAUAAAUUUCAUCUUUGUGGAGUCAUCAAGCCAGGAAGUCACUAAACUGUUGUUUGAGCCGCAGUUCCUAUUUUUUGACUUGUGACAUACAUUGUGCAAA
rnacentral:lncRNA from 1 species